rnacentral:lncRNA from 1 species
GCUGAAUAGAGAAGACUCCAAGAUUCAGAGGAAAAGGAAUCAACAACAAGGCAGGGUCCUCAGUUUCUGAGUCAGUGAUUGGAGAAGAGACCCCAAGGAAAGCCAUCUGAAUGAGAAUAUACUCUUGCUCUCCUCUUUAAAAAUAUAAAGACCAUCUUCAGCUAUGGACCAUAUAAAAAAAAAAAAGAUGACAAACCAGAUUUAGCCUGCAGGCUACAGUUUGUUGCUCCCCACUGUAAGUGGUCGACUUUCGAAGACCUACUGCUGGUAACUGCCAGUUAAAAUUUUUCAGAUGAUUUUGCAAUCAUCAAAUUGUGGGUGACACUUUUUUGGCACCAGUCCAUCUGCUUUCUGUUAACGGUAACCUCAAAGUACAGUUUGAAAAUUAACAUGAUGAUCACUGAAUAACCUUCCUCUGAUCUGUCUCUCACCUUCUGGUCCCAAAGGUCUUAAGUUUACUUUCCUUACAAACUCAUACCACCUUUCUAUAACCCGGG